GACGGGGGAUGCAAGCGUUAUCCGGAAUCACUGGGCGUAAAGCGUCUGUAGGUGGUGAUGCAAGUCGCUGGUGCAAAUCUCUGGCUCAACCGGGGGAAAGCCGGUGAAACUGGAUGACUAGAGUGUGGGAGAGGUAGAAGGAAUUCCCUGAGUAGCGGUGAAAUGCGUAGAUACAGGGAAGAACACCGGAGGCGAAAGCGUUCUACUGGAACCCAACUGACACUGAGAGACGAAAGCUUGGGGAGCGAAUGGG
rnacentral:rRNA from 1 species